UACGAAGGGGGCUAGCGUUGCUCGGAAUCACUGGGCGUAAAGGGUGCGUAGGCGGGUCUUUAAGUCAGAGGUGAAAUCCUGGAGCUCAACUCCAGAACUGCCUUUGAUACUGAGGGUCUUGAGUAUGACAGAGGUGAGUGGAACUGCGAGUGUAGAGGUGAAAUUCGUAGAUAUUCGCAAGAACACCAGUGGCGAAGGCGGCUCACUGGGUAGAUACUGACGCUGAGGUGCGAAAGCGUGGGGAGCAAACAGG
rnacentral:rRNA from 1 species